rnacentral:rRNA from 1 species
AUGUGGCAAAAUGUAUUGUGUGCCUGCAGCUAUGAUCUGCGGUACUUGUCAUGUAGUGGUACAAUUUAUAAGCAAGAAAGGAAACCUAGAUUGUUGACAGUUGAACCUAGCAGCUUCAGCAAGUGCGCAAGUCGAAAGGAUUGCAAGUGCAGUGAGUUCAGCAGGUUUGUUUCAACAGUUUGCAACAGCUUGGCUAGAAACAGACAGGAAUCUUCAACUUCUCGUCGAAUCCAUUGA